rnacentral:rRNA from 1 species
UACGUAGGGACCAAGCGUUGUUCGGAUUUACUGGGCGUAAAGGGUGCGUAGGCGGUCGCGCAAGUCGGAUGUGAAAUCUCAGGGCUCAACCCUGAAACUGCAUUCGAUACUGCGUGGCUAGAGUGCUGGAGAGGAGACUGGAAUUUACGGUGUAGCAGUGAAAAUGCGUAGAUAUCGUAAGGAAGACCAGUGGCGAAGGCGAGUCUCUGGACAGCAAACUGACGCUGAGGCACGAAGGCCAGGGGGAGCAAAACGGG